rnacentral:rRNA from 1 species
UACGUAGGGCGCAAGCGUUAUCCGGAAUUAUUGGGCGUAAAGAGCUCGUAGGCGGUUUGUCGCGUCUGCCGUGAAAGUCCGGGGCUCAACUCCGGAUCUGCGGUGGGUACGGGCAGACUAGAGUGAUGUAGGGGAGACUGGAAUUCCUGGUGUAGCGGUGAAAUGCGCAGAUAUCAGGAGGAACACCGGUGGCGAAGGCGCUCAUCUGGCCCAAUACUGACGCUGAGGCGCGAAAGCUAGGGGAGCAAACGGG